ACAUCCAGAGAACUUGGCAGAGAUGCCUUGGUGCCUUCGGGACCUCUGAGACAGGUGCUGCAUGGCUGUCGUCAGCUCGUGUUGUGAAAUGUUGGGUUAAGUCCCGNAACGAGCGCAACCCCUAUCCUUUGUUGCCAGCGAUUCGGUCGGGAACUCAAAGGAGACUGCCGGUGAUAAACCGGAGGAAGGUGGGGAUGACGUCAAGUCAUCAUGGCCCUUACGAGUAGGGCUACACACGUGCUACAAUGGCGCAUACAAAGAGAAGCGACCUCGCGAGAGCAAGCGGACCUCAUAAAGUGCGUCGUAGUCCGGAUCGGAGUCUGCAACUCGACUCCGUGAAGUCGGAAUCGCUAGUAAUCGUAGAUCAGAAUGCUACGGUGAAUACGUUCCCGGGCCUUGUACACACCGCCCGUCACACCAUGGGAGUGGGUUGCAAAAGAAGUAGAUAGCUUAACCUUCGGGAGGGCGUUUACCACUUUGUGAUUCAUGACUGGGGUGAAGUCGUAACAAGGUAAGCGUAGCGAG
rnacentral:rRNA from 1 species